GCUCAGGAUAACCGCUGGCGGCGUGCCUAACACAUGCAAGUCGAACGCCAUACGCAAGUAGGGAGUGGCGGACGGGUGAGGAACACGUGGAUACCUACCAUGAGGUGAGGAAUACCGGCGAGAACUCGCCGACAAUACCGCAUACGUUUGGAACCAACCAACGCUCGCAAGAGUGGGACCGGAUGGGUCUGCGUCUGAUUAGCUGGUUGGUGGGGUAACGGCCUACCAAGGCGACGAUCAGUAGCUGGUCUGAGAGGACGAUCAGGGACCCUGGGAUUGAGAACGGCCAAGACUCCUACGGGGGGCAGCAGUGAGGAAUUUUCGGCAAUGGGCGCAAGCCUGACCGAGUAACGCCGCGUGCAGGAUGACGGCCUUCGGGUUGUAACCUGCUUUUCUCUGGGACGAGUAAGGACGGUACCAGAGGAACAAGCCACGGCUAACUACGUGCCAGCAACCGCGGUAAUACGUAGGGGGCGAGUGUUGUCCGGAGUUACUGGGCGUAACGCGCACGCAGGCGGUCUCGUAAGUUUGGAGUGACAGUUCCUGGCUCAACUGGGAACGUGCUUCGAACACUGCGAGACUUGAGGGCUUCAGAGGGACACGGAAUUCCGGGUGGAGUGGUGAACUGCGUAGAGAUCCGGAGGAACACCAACGGCGAAGGCAGUGUCCUGGGGAGUACCUGACGCUCAGGUGCGAACGCCAGGGGAGUGAACGGGAUUAGAUACCACGGUA
rnacentral:rRNA from 1 species